rnacentral:snoRNA from 1 species
CCCACAUGGAUAGCCCAGAAGGUCACUCUCCCCAGGCUCUGUCCAGGUGGCACAGGUGGCACAGGGGAGCACGCGGCCCUGCCCUGCAGUGUACAGUCCCACUCCACAACGCUGGAGACGAAGCCGGGCCUCGAGCCUGCACCUGCAUAUCCCUACAGCUUCUCAGAAUCCGAUGGACAAUUACGGAGAAGACAAACCAGGAAACUGCU